UACGUAGGGGGCAAGCGUUGUCCGGAAUCACUGGGCGUAAAGCGCACGUAGGCGGCUUUGUAAGUUAGAGGUGAAAGCCCGGGGCUCAACUCCGGAAUUGCCUUUAAGACUGCAUCGCUAGAAUUGUGGAGAGGUAAGUGGAAUUCCGAGUGUAGAGGUGAAAUUCGUAGAUAUUCGGAAGAACACCAGUGGCGAAGGCGACUUACUGGACACAUAUUGACGCUGAGGUGCGAAAGCGUGGGGAGCGAACGGG
rnacentral:rRNA from 1 species